rnacentral:rRNA from 1 species
AUUGAACGCUGGCGGCAGGCCUAACACAUGCAAGUCGAGCGGAUGAGUGGAGCUUGCUCCAUGAUUCAGCGGCGGACGGGUGAGUAAUGCCUAGGAAUCUGCCUGGUAGUGGGGGACAACGUUUCGAAAGGAACGCUAAUACCGCAUACGUCCUACGGGAGAAAGUGGGGGAUCUUCGGACCUCACGCUAUCAGAUGAGCCUAGGUCGGAUUAGCUAGUUGGUGAGGUAAAGGCUCACCAAGGCGACGAUCCGUAACUGGUCUGAGAGGAUGAUCAGUCACACUGGAACUGAGACACGGUCCAGACUCCUACGGGAGGCAGCAGUGGGGAAUAUUGGACAAUGGGCGAAAGCCUGAUCCAGCCAUGCCGCGUGUGUGAAGAAGGUCUUCGGAUUGUAAAGCACUUUAAGUUGGGAGGAAGGGCAGUAAGUUAAUACCUUGCUGUUUUGACGUUACCAACAGAAUAAGCACCGGCUAACUUCGUGCCAGCAGCCGCGGUAAUACGAAGGGUGCAAGCGUUAAUCGGAAUUACUGGGCGUAAAGCGCGCGUAGGUGGUUCGUUAAGUUGGAUGUGAAAGCCCCGGGCUCAACCUGGGAACUGCAUCCAAAACUGGCGAGCUAGAGUAUGGCAGAGGGUGGUGGAAUUUCCUGUGUAGCGGUGAAAUGCGUAGAUAUAGGAAGGAACACCAGUGGCGANNCGACCACCUGGGCUAAUACUGACACUGAGGUGCGAAAGCGUGGGGAGCAACAGGAUUAGAUACCCUGGNAGUCCACGCCGUAAAC